UUACAAGUAAAUAACUUUGUUGUGGUACUGGGGAUUGAACUCAGGACCUUUGCACUGAGCUGUAUCUCUAGCUCUCUUUUAUGUUUUUAUUUUUAGACAAAGUCUUGGCAAGAAGCUUAAAUUGCCUAGGCUAGGCUUGAAUUAUUUGAUCCUUCUGCCUCAGCCUCGAAGAGUGCUAGGAUUACAGAUGCCUGUCUGAGCUAAGUAAUUUUUCAGCACCAGGGCUUUGGUGCUGUAAGACCAAGGGCCUUACCAAAUGCUCCGAGGAGCUGACUAUAGUGAAGCACACCCACGGAUCCCAGCGGUGCCUCCAGAAUGCAAGGCCAAGGGCCUUACCAAACGCUCCAAGGAGCUGGCUACUGCGAGGACCACCCGGGAAGGAACACACCG
rnacentral:lncRNA from 1 species